rnacentral:tRNA from 1 species
GGUAGUGUGCCGGAUAAAACGGGAUGCGUUGAUGGCGCAUAACAUGGGAUUACUUCACUCCCCACUACCU